AUUUUUUUGUUGCCGUUGUGUUAAUUGAAAUUUGAUCUAAGUACUUGAGCAGAGGUCUCCAAUCCUGUUCCUCAACGGCCGGUAUUCCAGAUGUUUUCUCUAUCCAUUCUGCAACACACCUGAUUCAUAUGAGAUCUGCAAAAGCUGGCUAAUAAUCCUUCAUUGAAUCAGGUGUGUUGCAGCAGUGAGUUAUGGAAAACAACCAGGAAAUCAGCCCUUGAGGAGUAGGUAUCGAAGACCCCUGGACUAGAGGUAUCGGAAUGCCGGAGCUCGGGGAGCACAGCGCCAGGCGACCCCACCACAAAGCGCCGGUCGGGCGGCGCUGCAGCCACAGGAAGGCUGCAGCCGCGAACGUCCGCACAGGCGUCGGCACCUCCUUCUCCUCUCCACCCCCUUGCCGCCUCGUCCGGUGCCAACCUCGGUCCACUUUUUUUGGGGGGGAAUUAUUUUCUUCUUUUUUUAAAUUUUUUAAAUAUUUUUUAAAUUAUUUGUUCGCUUUGCCGUCCGAACUGCUGCCGUAUCCCAGAGGUGCCAUCAGUCGAGAUUCUGAGCGCGUCUGCCGCUGCGCUCUCGGAGCGGAUGCUCGCGGCGGCGCGGAGCUGAGAGCUCGGGAGGGGCGGUGCGAGAGUGAAGCAGAUUGGAGGGAGAAGUGGAGAGCUCGCUCCAGCUGUGUGCACGCUUGUUCAUCGAGUCGAGGCUGGCCUGGACACACCUGUCAAGAAGCACGCGCACACUCACUUAAUUGACGUCAACGAUAACAGGACUUUCGUAUAAGCAAUGUUUUUUUUGGGAAAUGGAAAAGAGCCCAUGCCGGAAUAAAAAUGUUAAGUUGGUUCAGACAUAUAUAACAAUCAAUUGCUUGAUCUGAGAAACUGAUCAUUUUGGGGUGGUCUGUUGGGUGUCAUAAGCAGGUUGCAACAGAGAUACACAGAGACUGGAGGAGUUAUAGAAAGGAUUAGAACUGGAUGUCCCUGGGAAUUUUCGUGGUUCAAAAAAAAACACCUGUUGGGAAUUCAGCAGUUCACCUGCUUAUCAUAUGCAUAUUUGUCAUCGUUAAUUUGGUCACAAUUGUGAAGUCACUUGUUGCUAGGCAGAAUUCAUGGGGCUGAAUGCACUUGGACACCAACGUCCAAUAAAAUGUAUUUCUAGGAAUUUAUCUUAAUGUUUUUAAUCAGUUCAUUUGGCCUUUGGGUGAGGUCACUUGCUGCUUGGCAAAAUUAAUCAGGAUUUACUUGCAACAAACUCCAAUAAAAUAGAUUUAACUGGUAGCUCUAUCAUUAUGUCAACAAUUUGAUCCGUUUGUUGAUUCGGUCCAUUUGUGAGUUCACCUGUCACUCGACAGAAUCCAGUGGGCUCAAUCACCUGCCAUCCAGUCCAAUAAAAACAGUUGUACCUAA